ACGCGAAAGGCCUUCCUUGGUAGAGGGCGUUUCCGUCGGUAAGGAGCCACCCCAAGCAGGAGGAGGGUGCAUCAGGUCCCAGCAGCAGCGGGCUGGGCCAUUUUCAAAGCCAAAUAGAAGGGAGGUAGGAUGAAGGGGUGGACAUCUUUGGUGUGAAUAAAGAAAAUGGUACAGGGAGAAGAUGUAGGAAGAGUCAGGGAGAGAAGGGGCGAAGAGUAAAAGAACUAAAUCUGGGAAGAUCCAUCAAAGUCAGGGAGUGUAGACACGCCCUGCUGGGGGAAGGCCCAGUGAGUCUAGUCUGAAUUUCUCUUAGCCCUUCUGAGAGAAUAGAAACAUUGCAAUUUCCCCACACAAUCCCCCCAGAGUAAACACCUUUACUAUAUAUUCAUUAAACAUUUUGGUGUGUAUUUUUUAAAAAGAAUUUAGAUGGUUCUUUGAGCCAUGCUUUGGCUGAGUAACUUAAGCCUCAAAUUCUGUUUUCCCCAGCUGCCACUGAACUGUUAUUGCAGUCUUUUUACAAAAAUAGCAACAAUUUUUAAAAAAAGAUGGAUGGAUUCCCUCGAAAUAAAGUUCUACUUCGGGGCGAGCAAACUAGGCCGAGAUCCACCUCCUGUAGCCAGCGCUCCCAAGCCCCUGCAGCACCAGCAGGAGACGCACGUCCGCCCAGCGGGUCUCCUUAGCGCUUCCAGCCCCCGGUACCCGACCCCAAAUCCCUGCCCCGGGCCCCGCCGCCCCUCCCCCGCCCCCCUCCCCCACUCCAGGCCGAGCCCGGGGCGCCCGCACCGUGGGCCCCGCCGCCGCUGCAGAAGCCAAAGUCCGCCGGUGGGGACCGCUUUCCUCUCCAGUGCUCUCGAGUGAACAACAAGGACGGGGGUGACCCUCGUUCAAAGGGCUUUUAUCUGCCCCCCACCGCCGCGUGAUCCCUCCGCGGGGCCGGGGGCAGAGCUUAAAAAGGAAAGGAGGUUAAUGUGCAUUGAGCACCGGCCUUACAUCGAGGACGCUACCUGCGAUCUCUUCAAAAGGCAGCAGCAGCCAGCAGUUCCUUGCAGAACAAAGACUCAGUGUCUGCGCUUCCAAAGCUGAUAGGUAAAGUUGCAGAUAAAAGAAACCUAAGCGCAAAAAAACACAGGAUUUUCUCUUGCUCCUCCAAACCGGCGGCUUCUUUUCGCCCCCCCCCCCCCUUCGUUCCCCCUGAUGGUGUUUGUUCUCGCCCACUUGGGGGUGCGGGGCGGCUCUGACCCAACUCCUUUUCUCCCCCCCCCCCACUCCCCUCACAGCACCGUGGUGAUGAGUUCUUCCGAACUAAGUUGUAGUUGCUACUAUUUGCUACUAAAUCAAAUUCCACAUUA